rnacentral:rRNA from 1 species
CCCUUAGAUGUUCUGGGCCGCACGCGCGCUACACUGAUGCAUUCAACGAGUUUCUUCCUGGUCCGAGAGGAAUGGGUAACCUUUUGAAAGUGCAUCGUGAUAGGGAUAGACUAUUGCAAUUAUUGGUCUUCAACGAGGAAUUCCUAGUAGACGUAGUUCAUCAGACUGCAUCGAUUACGUCCCUGCCCUUUGUACACACCGCCCGUCGCUCCUACCGAUUGAAUGCUCAGGUGAGCCAUUCGGACUUUCACCAUGCUGGUUUCCAGUUUUGAUGAAGGAAAGUCUUGCGAACCUUAUCAUUUAGAGGAAGGAGAAGUCGUAACA